rnacentral:rRNA from 1 species
AAACCAGCACCUCAAGUGGUCAGGAUGAUUAUUGGGCCUAAAGCAUCCGUAGCCGGCUCUGUAAGUUUUCGGUUAAAUCUGUAUGCUCAACAUACAGGCUGCCGGGAAUACUGCAGAGCUAGGGAGUGGGAGAGGUAGACGGUACUCGGGAGGAAGUGGUAAAAUGCUUUGAUCUCUCGAUGACCACCUGUGGCGAAGGCGGUCUACCAGAACACGUCCGACGGUGAGGGAUGAAAGUUGGGGGAGCAAACCGGAUUAGAUACCCCGGUAGUCC